rnacentral:RNase_P_RNA from 1 species
AAGGCAGGUUGUCCUGUCGCGUUCUGCCGGGUGCAGGAUGAGGAAAGUCCGGACAACAAAGAGCAGCAUACUUCCUAACGGGAAGCCGGCUGGCCUGAGGGCUGGCCGAGAGACAGUGCCGCAGAAAACAACCGCCUAAGCCGGGUUAUCCCGGCCGGUAAGGGUGAAAACGUGGGGUAAGAGCCCACGGCUUGCCGGGGUGACCCGGCAGGCGGGUAAACCUUAUGCGUUGAAAGGCCAAAUAUACCGGGGCCUGAGGGUUGCUCGCCCGAUCCCGGAGGGUAGGCCGCUGGAAACUGCACGUGAGUGCCGUUCAAGAUUAAUGACAGGAAGCAUUUCUUUGUGAAUGCUACAGAAUCCGGCUUACAGACCUGCCUUUUUC